rnacentral:rRNA from 1 species
GAGUUUGAUCCUGGCUCAGGACGAACGCUGGCGGCGUGCCUAACACAUGCAAGUCGAACGGAGUUAAGAAGGAGCUUGCUUCAUCUUAACUUAGUGGCGGACGGGUGAGUAACGCGUGAGUAACCUGCCUUUCAGAGGGGGAUAACGUCUGGAAACGGACGCUAAUACCGCAUGACAUUUCUGUGCCGCAUGACAUAGAAAUCAAAGAAGCAAUCCGCUGAGAGAUGGACUCGCGUCCGAUUAGCUAGUUGGUGAGAUAAAGGCCCACCAAGGCGACGAUCGGUAGCCGGACUGAGAGGUUGAACGGCCACAUUGGGACUGAGACACGGCCCAGACUCCUACGGGAGGCAGCAGUGGGGGAUAUUGCACAAUGGAGGAAACUCUGAUGCAGCAACGCCGCGUGAGGGAAGAAGGUCUUCGGAUUGUAAACCUUUGUCCUUGGUGAAGAAAAGAAUGACGGUAGCCAAGGAGGAAGCUCCGGCUAACUACGUGCCAGCAGCCGCGGUAAUAC